rnacentral:tRNA from 1 species
GCCUGCGUGGCUCAGUCGGUUGAGCGUCCGACUUCGGCUCAGGUCAUGAUCUCACGAUUUGUGGGUUCGAGCCCCGCAUCGGGCU